GAUGUUCAUUUUAUUAGGGUAUAUAAAAGUAGAUCAUGUACGCUCAGCUUAGAAAUUUGUUAAUAAGUCCACAGAUUUAGUUUAAAUAUCUUUAAUUAACAUGAUAUUUUAUUUAAUGUCAUGUUCGCAAAUUUUCAUCGACAUAUCUCACGAGAAGUACUUGUUCAAAACAUUAUUCGAUGUAUACUAGCUAUAUAUGGUGGCGGCUUCAUUUAUGUAUGUAUGAUUUUAUAUAUAUUAAGUAGACAUCGAUCAUAUUUAUGGUUGUCCUCCACUUCCGUAACCAGAUCCAUAACCUGAACCAUAUCCAUGUCCAGAACCACCACCUCCUCCAUGGCCACCGCCACCACCUCCUCCAUGACCACCGCCUCCAUUUCCGCUUCCUGAACCAUAACCAGAUCCACUGCCAGAGCCAUAUCCCGAUCCGUUCCCACCACCAUGUCCACCACCACCUCCACCGCCAUGUCCACCACCUCCUCCUUGCCCACCACCGUAACCAGAACCGCUUCCAGAUCCAUAACCACUCCCUGAUCCAUGACCACUUCCCGAUCCUCCACCACCACCAUGUCCGCCUCCACCACCACCACCGUGUCCACCUCCACUCCCUUUACCACUUCCAUAACCUGAACCGGAUCCAUAGCCACUACCAGAUCCUUGACCUCCACCGCCACCGUGUCCCCCUCCACCACCGCCUCCACUACCAUACCCACCUCCUUUCCCAUGUCCCGAACCAUAUCCUGAGCCAUAACCAGAACCACUUCCCUUCCCACUACCUCCUCCUCCUCCACCGCCGCCGCCACCUCCACCACCACCUCCAUUAUUCGACCAAACCCUGGUUGCAGAGGUCAUGCCUAGGAAGAGCAUGACAACCAAAGUAGCACCCAACACUUUAGACAUAGCCAUUGAUGGUUAUAUAUUUUAGAAAGUUAAAAGAGAGAUGUGUGUUGUUGUGAAGUGUGCAUGGGAUGGUGUUGGUAUUUAUACCAAUUUUCGGCUCAUGAAAUAAUUAACAUCUGCCAACUGUUUCGGACUUUAAGAGUUUGAAGUCAGAAAUUUGGCGCCAACUCAUCGCCUAAUAAGCCAAAACACUUUGUUGAAUUCAUCAUAUUAAACGACAAUGAUAUCGAAAAGAAGUUCAAUUUUAAUCCACAAAUUUUCACCGACAUCAAACUAUUUGACUGAAUUAAUGUAAUUAUUCGAUUAAAAAAAUGGUAGUUAGUAAGUCACGGUCAUACCAGAUAAGUAGAUAACCCUACUUUAAUUAAACCAUAAAAAGACUUCGGCUUCAAUCCACUUAUUUUCACCGACACCGCAAGUUUUUGACCUCCAAAUUGUAAUAUUCGAUUCAAAAGUUAGUGAGUCACAAUCAAGUUAGAUAAUCUUAUUUUACACUGUUUUUUAUUGACUUAUUUUCAAUUCACAUUCUUAAAUUUCCGUGUUCAUGUUUUUGUCUUUUUUGGGCAGACGUGUCUUGUAUGUUGUAUAAGACACUAACACAUGUAAGACGUAAAAUAAUGUACUGCGAAAGACGUUUAUUUUCAAUUCACAUUUUUAAAUGUCUGUUUUCAUGUUUUUGGCUUUUUUGUUAAAUUGAAAAUAAGACAUGAUUUUUCAAUUCUCAAAAACAAACAUAUAUAUUAAGUUUGAACGAAUCAAACUUGGUCUAUAAGUUUGAACAUAUAACCCAAUUUUUUUUUAUAAGAACCAAAUUAAAGCUCGAAUCGACCUCAAACUUAUUUUGUUAAUAAACAAGCCCGUAUAAGUUCGAAUCUUAACAAGCUCGGCUCUUAUUAAGCUCGUUCGGUAUCCAAGCACGAGGUUGGCUAACUGUAAUCAAGCACAAUUCUAAGCAAAACAAGCUAAUUGUAUUCAACACCAAAACAGAUGUUACAGACUUUGUAUUUAUAGUAAAUGUAUUAUAGUAAAUUAAAUGAUGGUGUAUAAUCGGAGAUGGGCUUACACGAUCAGAUUAAGGUUUAAUCCAUCUCUUUUUAGUAUAGUACAAGUGUCAAGGAUAACAAUACAAAUAAAUUAUACAUAGAGGAUCAACACGUAAAAUCAACCAAUUUGCACAGUUAUUCUCAAUACAACAGCUCUGAUCUCCUCCUUCUUCCCCCUUCUUCGUAUUCUCAACACUCUUCAACUCUCAACAAAGUGUAACGUGUUCUCCCUCAUUCUAAAAGGUUGCUAUUUAUUAACCUUCUUCUAACCUCGGGCCAGGCCGGGAUUGGGCCGAACAGAUAUGGGGAUGUUCCCUGGCCGCUCUAGCGGACCAGGGGUAUCAUCAGUAUAUACUCCCUCGACGGUCCUUGUUCGUUGAUGCUCUUGUUGGGUCAGUCCAAAGAGCCAAGGGUAUCAUCAGUACCCUCUUCCCACUUCUUGGAGCCUAUAAAUACAUUGAUGUCUCCUCUUUUUUCUUCAUAACCGAACUAAUCAUGCAUUCUUCUGCAGGUCCUCGAUGAGUUGAGGCGUGAGUUGGUGCACCGGUAGGCUGUCUGGUCGUAAUGUUUGAUCCUCUCUGAAUUCGAUCUUAGGGCUCUUAUCGCUAUUGAGAGUGACCGGUUGAAUGCUUUACAACUUAUAGUGUACCAUCGUUUGGCUUCCUUUCAUCAGGUUGACACAGAUUCGAUCGCGUUGGGGAUUGUCACUCAAGUUGUUGUGCCUUCCUCUCGGGUUGUGGCCCCUUCUCCUUGUGGCCGAGCUUCUGUCCCACAAGGUGAAUCUUCCGACUCUACUGCUCCUUCUGUUGUUUCCCUUUCGCUGCCCUCAUAACACCGUCGGGGUCGUCGACACCGACCACAUCGUGCGUUGUCUGAACGGUCAGUCAUUGACCUCCGCCACUACAUAUCGUGUGGGGCCACUUGAUAGCCUUCCCAGUCUUCUCAUAGGGAACCCCUCCGCGAGCUUCUCCGUUUGUAAUCUUACUUUUAUUUUCUUAGAGUCUUUGUUUUCGACUCACCCCCGCUGUAAUAGCUUAUUUUCUAAUGCAACUCCGUUAUUUGUUUUCGACUCCUAGAACCUAUCCCCUCGUGCUCUUUGCUUUUGCUCUUCCGGGGAUCAGAUCGAUCGGUUCUUCUAGAUCCUAUCUCUCGGGCCUACUUGAUUUUGCUGUGGGAUUUGGACGGCUCCUGGACCUAUCCCCUCGUGUUCUAUCUUUUCUCCCUAUGAUUUGGAGAGUCUGAGCAGUUGUCAUAACCUAUUUCCAUCGAGAAGGACUUAUUUCUUCCCUACAACAUGAAGAAUCCGAGUUGUUCCUGGAAUCUAUCUCUGGGUGAUCGAGCGGGACUUAUUUCUUAUUCGGGGAUCCAAGCGGUCUGUGGGCCUAUCCCCUGGUCGUAAAUUGGAUCGACCUGUUUUCCUUGUUUUUUUGGACGUUUCACGCUAUGUUUUAGUUAUCCAAAGUGGCUCCUUGUUUUAUUUCGAUAUUGAAAAAACAAGUAUGUACGAAGCCCCCUUUUAUAUAGCUUACUAGUUACUGUCGAUCGGUACUUGGAAAAGGUGUCUGUAUGCCAAGUCCUUUCCAUUAGUUGUCCGUACUCGAACAUCAGUUGAAAUACACAUGGGUCGGACCUCCUCUUUUAUGAUGUACGGGGAGGUCCCCUACGGUCAAAUCCUUUUUCGAUACCUUCGUGUUGUGGUACCGGCCGGGCGGUCCUCCGCUUGUACGGUUAGCAUGGUCGUAUCGUUCUCUUCCGGGAUGUAUCCUAAGAUCUGAUUCAGUAGUCGACCAUACGAGUUCGGAAGAGGACACUGCACUGAUUUUGAAUGCUAAUGUGAACUGCGCGUAUCUGGUUGGGAUCUAUAAUGUGGUGCGGUAGGUCCACAUUAUUUCCGGGAUUAAGUUGGCCCAUGUACCCGGGUUUUCUCUGACUUUUCGCUUUAGAAUUGUCGUUAUUUUACGAUUUGUUACCUCCACCUGGUCAUUGGACUGGGGAUGAUAUACGGAGGUUAAAGUUAGCUUUAUUCCACUCUCUUUGAAAAACAUUUUGAAUUUUUUGCCUGCGAACUGCGUCCUAUUAUCGGCUAUUAUUUGCAUCGGGACUUCGAAACAGCAAACGAUGUUUAACACAAUAUUCUAUCAAAUUUUCACUAUCAUAUACUUUAUCAAAAAAAAUAAACCGAGGAUGGGACGCAGUUCAUUGUACAACUGUACUGUUUUCAUUGACUGAGAUAUUUAUUGAUAAUUUUAAAAUUAAGAUGCCAUUUUUUGUUGUUGUUAAAAAUCAUUUAUAUCAUAUGAAAUAUCUCAUGAAAACGUUUUUUAUUUAUUCAUAUCAUGACUGUGGUGGCUUCAUAUAUGUAUGUAUGAUUUUAUAUAUAUCAAGUAGACGUUGAUCGUAUUUAUGGUCGUCCUCCACUUCCGUAACCCGAGCCUGAUCCAUAACCAGAACCAUAUCCAUGUCCAGAACCACCACCUCCUCCAUGGCCACCGCCACCACCUCCUCCAUUGCCAUAACCACCAUUUCCGCUACCUGAACCAUAACCAGAUCCACUGCCAGAGCCAUAUCCCGAUCCGUUCCCACCACCACCUCCACCGCCAUGUCCACCACCUCCUCCUUUUCCACCACCGUAACCAGAACCACUUCCAGAUCCAUAACCACUACCUGAUCCAUGACCACUUCCCGAUCCUCCACCACCACCAUGUCCACCUCCGCCACCACCACCGUGUCCACCUCCACUCCCUUUACCACUUCCAUAACCUGAACCGGAUCCAUAGCCACUACCAGAUCCUUGACCUCCACCGCCACCAUGUCCCCCUCCACCACCGCCUCCACUACCAUACCCACCUCCUUUCCCAUGUCCCGAACCAUAUCCUGAGCCAUAACCAGAACCACUUCCCUUCCCACUACCUCCUCCUCCUCCACCGCCGCCACCUCCACCACCACCUCCAUUAUUCGACCAAACCCUGGUUGCAGAGGUCAUGCCUAGGAAGAGCAUGACAACCAAAGUAGCACCCAACACCUUAGACAUAGCCAUUGAUGGUUAUAUAUUUUAGAAAGCUAAAAGAGAGAUGUGUGUUGUUGUGAAGUGUGCAUGGGAUGGUGUUGGUAUUUAUACCAAUUUUCGGCUCAUGAAAUAAUUAACAUCUGCCAACUGUUUCGGACUUUAAGAGUUUGAAGUCAGAAAUUUGGCGCCAACUCAUCGCCUAAUAAGCCAAAACACUUUGUUGAAUUCAUCGUAUUAAACGACAAAGAUGUCGAAAAAAAGUUCAAUUUCAAUCCAACCGAUACCAAACUAUUUGACUGAAUUGUAAUAUUCGAUUAAAAAAUGGUAGUUAGUAAGUCACAGUCAUACCAGCUAAAUAACUUUUUUUUUAUUGACUAAGUUUCAGUUUACACAUUCUUAAAUUUCUGUGUUGAUUUUUCACUUUUUUUAAUCAUCUCUUAAAUAAAAAAAUAUUAUAUAAUAUUAACAGAUGAUAUAAAAUUCAAGGGUUAUUUGUAAGUAAACCCAUAUAUUAUCUGAUUCCUGCCUAACAAGCUUAAACACUUUAUUUAUUUAUUUGAUUCCAAUCCACAAAUUUUCAGCCGACAUGCAGCACAAGUAUUUCAUUAAAUUAUAAUAUUUGAUUUAAAAUUUAGUGAGUGACAAUCAUGACAGAUAAUCUUUUCUUCUUGAGUUUAAAGUUAUUAAGUCUGUAAAUGGUAUAUCGAAAUCCAUAUUCGAAUCCGCAUUCGAAUUCGAAUAUGACUAUCCGGAUUCGGAUACCUGAAUUGAAAUCCAGAUUUUAUUCGGUCGGAUUCGGAUAUCCGGAAAAUCCGUCGAUAAAAUCCGAAUUCGUUUAAAAAUUUCGGAUUCGUUCUGAUAUCCGGAUAAAUAUAUAAUAAAUUAAUAUUAUUAUAUUAUAUAUUUUUAUUAUAAAUCAUUAAACACUUAAAGUUUUAAACCUAAUUACCUAAGUUAUAAUUAAUUAAUUAUAAAUCUUUAUAACUUAUUAACUUAUAAUUAUUAAAUCCCAACCCUAAUCCUAACAGUAACCCUAAAGUUAUUCAGAUUCGGAUUAUUUGAAUUCGAAUUAUCCGAAAAUCCGGAUAAUUUAUUCGGAUUAUUCGGAUAUCUGGAUAAUUUAUCCUUCGAAUUUUCAAAUCCGGAUUUUAUUCGAUCGGAUUCCUACAUAUCUGAUCCGAAUCCGAGCGAUAUACAGGCUUAAAAGUUAUAAUGUAAUAUCACAAGUGAUGACAAUAUUCUAAUUAUAGCAAUCAUAAUAGUUAAUUACAACUCGAUUAGUCUAGUUGGUCGCACACACUAUUAAAGUUAACCGAAGGUCUAAAGUUGACAGAGUACUUGUCGAGGAGAUGGAGCCCGCAACUGACGACAAGAUGACAGAGAAUGAUUCUAACGACCAACGGUUUGCCUGGAAAGAGGGUGCGUCAGCUGAAGGGUCCGCCUACUGAAUACCUGGUACCAGGACUUUGUAACCUAAUCACGAUGGUCAAAGGGGCACGACGAGUUCUUUAAAUUUAUCUGGAGAAUUUAGUAAUUAGUUGGUCGUCGGGAUGGAAGAAAAUGAGUUGUAUUUUUAUUUUCUUUAAUCAACUGAUACCAUCUCAGAAACGCAAUUCAUUUAUUAACAACUAAAAUCAAUUCCAUAAAAUGAUUAACCCAAAAGCUUGGGUAAUACAAACUAUUUAUAGUAUGGUUAAGUCUAAAGUAAAUUGUUAAUCACACUUUAAACUAAUUACAAUGUUAUGAUCAUUACAGCAAUAUUGUUUAUUUAAUUCUCACACCCGUCACUGAUCUCCGCCAAUACAUAUCGCGUGGGGCUACUGAUGUCUACCCUACCGUCUCAUGAGGAACCCCGCAAGCUGCUACGAUUUUGUUUUAGUUAUAUUUUAAUUUCCUUUUGUAAUCUCACUUUUACUUUCCCUGCAGUCUUUGUUUUCGUCUCGUCCUCGAUGUAAUAGCUCAUUUUCUAAUGCAACUCCGUUAUUCGUUUUCACCUGAUUACUCAGAUAUUCGUUUCCUGUUCUUCCAUGAGUUUGACGGGUUGUUUAUCGACUAUUUGGUCGCGGGUGCUCCUACUGCUUCGGGACGGGUUGUGAUCUAUGGGGGCUCUUGGGUUGUUAUCCCUCCGACCUGGGAGUUUGUUGAUCGAGAAGCUUCGAGGUCGACCGGUUGAUCGAGAAGCUUCAGAAGAUGGGGGUCGACCUCAAGGCAACAGAGCUUCGGUGCAUUACCGCAUUAGCCGACAACGAAACUCUCAAGCAUGAGACCGGGAAAGCGGUCAAUUUCUUCAAUGAGAGAGCCUAGAAGAUGAGGGCCAAGCGGAAGAACGAUCUACUUGGUCAUUUCGUUGCUAGGAUGAAGUGUGAGAGUAACCUUGUCCAGCUAUCCGUUGAAGAUUUCAUCGUUCCGAUCAACCUCGCGCAGUGGGAAGAGUGGAAGAGCAUUGGGCCUCCUGAACUUCCUCCGGAUUGAUCACGGUUCCGAAGCUUCCAGAAGAUCACGAAGCAGAGCCUUCCUAAGUUCGUUUUUUUCUUUCCUACUUUAUGUUUGUAUCCCAGUACACUAGUUUUGCCUUUUCUUAUUUCACCAAUACUUUUUUUUUGCUAUUUGUUUUGUAUCUGUGUUUGCUUUUGCUCUCCCGACCCUACUUGACUUUUGUUGGGAAAUCCAGACGCUCCUAGAACCUAUCUUCUCGUGCUCUUUAAUUUGCUUCCACUCUUUGGUUUUGCUCUUCCAGGGGAUCCGGUCGGUUCUUCUAGAACCUAUCUCCCGACCCUAAUUAAUUUUACUAGGGGAUCCAGACGGCUCCUAUAAAACCUAUCUCCUCGUGUUCUUUCUUUUCUUCCUAUGGUCCGGAGAGUCCGAGAAGUUGUGAUAACCUAUCUCCCGACCAUCGAGCAAGACUUAUUUCUUCCCUACGACCUGAAGAAUCUGAAUUGUUCCUGGAAUCUAUCUCUGGGUCAUCGAGCGGGACUUAUUUCUUUUCCGGGGAUCCGAGCGGUCCAUGGGCCUAUCCUCUGGUCGUAAAUUGGGUCGACUUGUUUUCCUUCCUUAGCUUUAUUCUGCUUUCUUUGCAGAACAUUUUCAGUAUUUUGUCUGCGAAUUGCAUCCCAUUGUCAGUUACUAUUUGCAUCGGGACUCCGAAACGACAAACGAUGUUUAACAUAAUAUUCUAUUUAAUGUCAUGUUCGCAAAUUUUCACCAACUAAAAUUGGAUAUUAGUAAGUCACUAUCAUUUAUUCAUAUCACAACUGUACUUUAUCAAAAAAAAUUAAAUCAAAUUGACAUUUUUCAUUGACUGAGAUAUUUAUUGAUAAUUUUAAAAUUAAGAUGUCAUUUUUUGUUGUUAUUAAAAAUCAUUUAUCUCAUUCGAAAUAUCUCAUGAAAACGUUUUUUAUUUAUUAAUAUCACGAUUGUAGUGGCUUCAUAUAUGUAUGUAUGUAUGUAUGAUUUUAUAUAUAUCAAGUAGACGUUGAUCAUAUUUAUGGUCGUCCUCCACUUCCGUAACCAGAGCCUGAUCCAUAACCUGAACCAGAUCCAGAUCCAGACCCACCACCUCCUCCAUGGCCACCGCCACCACCUCCUCCAUUGCCGUAACCACCAUUUCCGCUACCUGAACCAUAACCAGAUCCACUGCCAGAGCCAUAUCCCGAUCCGUUCCCACCCCCUUGUCCACCACCACCUCCACCGCCAUGUCCACCACCUCCUCCUUGGCCACCACCGUAACCAGAACCGCUUCCAGAUCCAUAACCACUCCCUGAUCCAUGAUCACUUCCAGAUCCUCCACCACCACCGUGUCCACCUCCACCACCACCACCGUGUCCACCUCCACUCCCUUUACCACUUCCAUAACCUGAACCGGAUCCAUAGCCACUACCAGCUUGACCUCCACCGCCACCGUGUCCCCCUCCACCGCCGCCUCCACUACCAUACCCACCUCCUUUCCCAUGUCCCGAACCAUAUCCUGAGCCAUAACCAGAACCACUUCCCUUUCCACUACCUCCUUCUCCACCACCGCCGCCACCUCCACCACCACCUCCAUUAUUCGACCAAACCCUGGUUGCAGAGGUCAUGCCUAGGAAGAGCAUGAUAACCAAAGUAGCACCCAACACCUUAGACAUAGCCAUUGAUGGUUAUAUAUUUUAGAAAGCUAAAAGAGAGAUGUGUGUUGUUGUGAAGUGUGCAUGGGAUGAUGUUGGUAUUUAUACCAAUUUUGGACUCAUGAAAUAAUUAACAUCUGCCAACUAUUUCGGACUUUAAGAGUUUGAAGUCAGAGACUUGGCGCCAACUAGCCUCAUAAGUCAAAACACUUUGUUAAAUUAUCUGGAAUUCAUCGUAUUAAACGACAAAGAUGUUGAAAGGAUGUUCGAUUUCAAUCCAACCGACAGCCAACUAUUUGACUGAAUUGUAAUAUUCGAUUAAAAAAUGGUAGUUAGUAAGUCACAAGUCAUACCACCCGGAUAACUUUUUUUUUUGCUUCAGUUUAUUGACUAAGUUUCAGUUUAUUUUUCAUUUUUUUUAAUCAUCUCUUAAUUAAUAAAUAUUCGAUGAUAUAUUACCCAAAUGUAGUUGUUUUUACUUUUACAAAGACACGGUCCGUUAAUUUUUUCACCCGAUCAAUAGUUUUUACCUGACUCUAGCCCGAUCAAAUCCGAUGGUUAUUUGUAAAUAAACCCAUAUAUUAUCUUAUUCCUGCCUAACAAGCUUAAACACUUUGUUUAUUUACACUCUGUUUCUGAGACGACCACACUGCAUGAUGAACGGAAUGCGGUACGUGUCGUGGAUUGCGGUAACCGAAGUUCUAAAGUUCGAAUUUUAGGUUAUACACUUUGACUUUUAUUUACUUAUGUAUCAUGUACCUUAUCAAAAAAAAACUUAUCAUUAUAUAUAUGAGAUCGGACGUUGAUAAUUAACAAUAUAGUAGUAUUUGUUAUAACUAAGGUUAAUUAGAAAUAGUUGCAUAAAUAAAUGAGUACGCAAGAAGUAAAUGAAAAAUUAAGUUUAUGAAAUUACCGGACUAUACGUUGGAAACUUUACCAGCAUGAUUCUGAUAGUUGGAAACUUCACUACCGGACUAUAUGUUUCAUCAAAGUCAAUUUCUUGACUUAUGAAAAAAUCCAUGCAAUCAUACGUGCUUUUCGUUGUUCGACUUGGAAUAUAUUUGUAGUUUUGCAAAUGGAAAAGAAUUUUCGAAAAAGGUGCAAUGAUAUGAUUCAGCAUAUAGGGAUUCAUCUGGAUCUGAUGGCUAGACAUGAUCUAUAGAAAUUUAUCGAAUGGAACUGCCGACUGUCGCAUUGUGACUGCCUCCCCAUAAUACACCCCAAAUUACUGUAGAUGGUCACAUAUAUAUACUGAAGAUUUGAGAGGGGACGAACGCACCGGCAACAACCAAUUCAUCGUCCUGUACUUAGCGCACUGGAGAAACAUCUUCGCUGGCAGCGUGGCGAUUGUUCUAGAGUUGCAUCUGCAGCUGAAGGAUCCGAGAUUCAGACGGUUAUCCAUACACAGAGGCUAAGGUACGUUGCCCAGAUAUUGGUUGCAGAUUUGAGCCCCAAAAUUGUGGGAAAGACAUAAAUUAAAGAUGAUAAAAUCCAACUUACUAGCAACUGAUCUUUACGCCACCAAGCCAUAUAAAUUGGGGAUUGAGGAAAGGGUGUAGGGUAGAGAUCGACUUAUCAAUCAAUGAUUGUAAUUCGAAGUCGUUGAGUAAAAGAUUAAACUGCAUUUUCCAUAGUAGAUAGUUUAUCGUAGACAGUAGACACCUUGAUAUGGAGAAAAACUUGGAUGGAUCCAUCGAAUAUUUGUUGAGUUUGAAAAAGCAUUGUUGCUUGAUUGGAUCCAACAUGAGAUCGACAACGGCAUCUACAAGAAUAGGUGUUGAAGGCAGCGGUCUAGAAAUUAUCACCUUAGUCAAUCAUAUAGAUCAUUCAUUACUCUUGACGGUUUGAGUAGUAAAAUUAGACGUAAUUAGCUUAAAGUAUCUACCAAUCCUAUUUUUUCAUUUCAAGAGAUAUACACAAACAACAAAAUAUCCUAAGAUAUUUUAUGAUUCAUUAUUUGAAAUUCCACAAAAUAUCCUUGGAUCAUUUCACUUAAUUGUUUUAAAUUUGUAAUAGAACUUAUAUUUGAAAUAUAUGCAAAUAUAAAUAUGAAAUAUGGUUUAAGAAUUGAAUUAUCGAUGUAUGUAUGAUGAUAUGAUAAUGAACUGUAAAUUGAUACUGUAGGAUGAUCGAUUGAUGAAGCGAUGAUCCACAGCUUGUUGAAGUGAGUUGAAUGUGAUUGAACUUGAAUCUGUGAUUCAAGUUGUUGUGUUGCGGAAGCGUUUGAAGAUUAGCAGUUCCAGUUGCAGAAUUGAUCAGACAGAGUAACACAAAGUCUGUAAUUGUAAUACAGAGUGUGUGGGUGUGUGUGAUCGUGUGUUAAAAUUAAACUAGGAUUAGAUAAGUUUAUAUAGAAGAACACCCAACGGCUAUGUUGGUUGGGUGUAUUUAAUUAUGGUAAUUAAUGUAUAUAGGAAUGUGUAAUAUGGAUUUGGGAAUUAAUAUAAGAUUGAAUAUUUGAUUGAUAUUUAAAUAUGAAAAGAUGUAAUGAGAAUGUGAAGAGUUGUGAUGAAAUAAGAGGGUGUUAAUGAUAAUUUUAUUAUAAUGUUAUAUGUGUGAUUUAUUUUAAGGUAGGGGUAUAUCUCUAAUAUCCUCCCUCAAAUCAAAACCGGUCAGGGUUUGAUUUGAAUAUAUGAGUGCAUUGGGGUGUUGAAGUGAAUUAAUUGGGUUUGAAUUCUUGGUGUGUAUAUCAAUUGGGUUUAGUCUUUGGAUUAGAUUUUUAAAUGCAGGACCACCCAAGGGUUUAGUGAAAAAAUCACCAAUAUUUUGUGUGCUAGAAACGUGUCUUAGUGUAAUAUCUCCCGCUAAAACCUUGUCCCUCACCGUGUGAAGAUCGAUCUCUAUAUGCUUUGUUCGUCGGUGUGAUAUAGGGUUUCGUGCGAUCGCCUCUGCUGCCGUGCUGUCGGUGAAGAUACGUGGAGCCGGUGAUCGUCGUAUCUGGUAAACUCCUAUCUCAUGUAGUAGCAUUGUUAACCAAGUUAGUUCACAUGUAGUGUAGGCCAAUGCUCUGUACUCGGCCUCAGCCGAUGAUCUUGAUAUUGUUUGUUGUUUUUUUGAUUUCCAAGAUACUAGGGAAGUACCAAGGAAGAUGGCAAACCCCGAUGUUGAUCGUCUGGUGGUUGGGCAACUUGCCCAAUCUGAGUCAGAAAAUGCAGAAAUGUGGUCCAUUGAGGAUCCUGUAAAAUGCAACCCCACACCAGGUGAUCCUUUUAUGUAUUUUAAUACUCUGUAGGCAGCUUUCAUGUGAAUGUCUGUGGGUGUUGCCAUGUGCUGACUUAGAUAAGUCACAGCAUAUGAUAUGUCUGGUCUUGUGCAAGUUAAAUAAACUAACUUGCCAAUUAUGCUUCUAUAUUGCUGUGGGUCCUCUAAUGGGGUUCCACAUGUCUCUGUUUUAUGUGACUGCAUUGGUGUUUUAUUAAUGUGGUUAUUUGGUUGUAUUAAUGUGUUAUUGAGUUUUUCUGUUUUAUAAUUGGAUAUUUGUUUUUGGCUAUUUGGAGUAUUAUUUGGUUUGCAUUGAGUUAGAUCAUAUUUUUCCAAUAGAUCUAAGGUGUAUUUUCUUUGCCCAAUGUAUAGGUCAUUUGGUGUUUUUGUGAAUUCAAGGCCUAGGAAAUAUUUAAGUUCUCCUAAGUCUUUUAUUUUGAAAGUCUCGCUUAAGUUUCCUUUUAAGGUAUUAAUUUUAUCUAUGUUAUUUCCUGUUAUUAACAGGUCAUCAACAUAGGCUAAUACUAUUGUAGUAUCUUUAUCAUCAAUGUUUAUGAACAGUGAAUAAUCUGUCUUACAUUGUUUGUAUCCAAAAUUGGAUAGAGCCUUUGACAGAUUUGAUACCACACUCUGGAGGCUUGUUUUAGGCCAUAUAGUGACCUAUUCAGUCUGCAGACUGAAUUUGGUGGUUGUCUUUUGGUAUGUCUAGACCCAAGGGAAUUUUCAUGUAUAUAGUUUCUUCUAGAGUUCCAUGUAGAAAAGCAUUUUGUACAUCCAUUUGAUGCAUGUGCCAUUUCUUGGAUACUCCUAUUGCUAAAAUGACUCUGAGUGUUGUCAUUUUUGAGACAGGGGCAAAGGUUUCUGUGAAAUCUAUCCCCUCAAUUUGGUUGUAUCCUUUUGCAACCAAUCUAGCUUUAUGUUUUUCAACAGUUCCAUCACUGUUGAAUUUGGUUUUGUAAACCCAUUUGCAGCCAAUUGGUUUCUUUCCUUCAGGAAUGCUAGUGAUUGUCCAGGUUUUGUUGUUUUCAAGAGCCUCAAGUUCUUGUUUCAUAGCAUUGUUCCAUUUGGCAUGUUUGGAGGCUUCUUUGUAUGAGCCUGGAUCAUUGUUGCUUUCUAUUGUUGUGAUGAAAGCAUAGUGUUCUGGGGUGAAAUUUUGGUGUGAGAUUUCUUUCCCUAUUGGGUGUCUAGAUGAUGCUAGUUGUAGUUUGUAAUCUUUUAGGUAUGAAGGCAUUUUUCUAGUUCUUUUUGAUGUUCUGUUAGUGCCCUCAUUGUCUGCUGGUGUUGGUGUUUCAGCUAUUUCUUCCUCUUCUUCUAACUCAUAUUGUUCAGUGAGUUCCAUUGAAGGAGGAAUGUGGGAAAUUUGAGGAAUUAUCUCCUCAUCUUCCUCUGACUCAUAUUGGUCAUGUGAGGGAGUUAUGUAUGUGUUUGUUUCUUCUAAUGGUUCUUUGUUGAAGAAGUCUUCCUCAUGUUGUUUGGGUUUUUCUUGAAAUGGGAAGAUUUCUUCAUGGAAAGUAACAUCCCUGUUUGUGAAGAUUUCUUGGUUUGAUAGGUUGAGUAUCUUAUAACCCUUUCUUUGGAAAGAGUAUCCUAGAAAAAUUCCCUUAAUGGCUCUGUUUUCGAAUUUUGUCUUUGUUUUGUUGUUUGUAGCAUAGCAAAGACAUCCGAACACUCUUAGGAUAGAGAGGUUUGGUUGCUCAUUAAACAGUCUGUAGUAAGGGGUGUCAUUGUCUAAGACAACAGCUGAGGUUCUAUUUAUUAGGAAUACAGCUGUUAGGAUGCAUUCCCCCCAAUAUGUAAGGGGGAUGUUGGAUUGGAUCAUAAGUGACCUGGCCACUUGUAGUAUAUGCUGGUGUUUUCUUUCUACUCUCCCAUUUUGUUGAGGAGUGUAAGGACAUGAUAGUUGGUGUGCUAUUCCAUUUGUUUUUAUGAUAUUUUGGAAUUCUUUAGACAGGAAUUCUGUUCCAUUGUCUGUUCUUAUGGUUUGGAUCGUUGUUUGGUGUUGAUUUUUAACAUCCAAGAUGAACUGUUUGAAUUUUCCUAAUGUUUCAGCUUUGUUUGUCAUCAGGAAGGCCCAGGUAGCCCUUGAAUAGUCAUCUACUAUGGUCAGAAAGUAGUUGUUUCCUUGAUGUGUGGGUGUAUGAAACUUGCCCCAAAUAUCUAGAUGAAUAAGCUGAAAACAUUUUGUAGUUUUACUUGUGCUAGAAUUAAAAGAUAACCUUGUUUGUUUUGACAAAGGGCAUGUAUUACAAAAUUUUGAAAAAUUUUUAGGAAUACAAUUGUUCAAUAAAUGUAGAUGAUAAAAUCUAGAAGGUGCAGGGUGUCCUAGCCUUCUGUGCCAGAUUUUUUCAUCUUUAGAUUCCCUUUGUUGGAUGUGAUUGGCCUGGGGUGAUUCUAGCUUUAAUAUGUAUAGACCAUCUUUCUUCUCACCACCACCAAUCUGGUUUCCCUGCUGGUCCUGUAUGGAACAGAAAGUAGGGUGGAAGGUGAAUAAGCAAUUUAUAUCUUUUGUUAACUUGCUUACAGAUAGAAGGUUUACUGAGAAGGAUGGUAUUUUAAGGACAUUGUGUAAAACAAUGUCUUUUGACAGGGUUGUGGAGCCACUUGAUGAUACUCUUGUGGUUUGUGAGUUUGGAAGGUGUAUGUUAAUUGGGUACAGGAGUGUUUUUAUGUUCUGUAGUUUGGUGUUGGGGGAACACAUGUGAUCUGUUGCCCCUGUGUCAAUGAUCCAUUGAUCAUUUUUUGUUUCAGUGUGUGGUUUUGUGUGUGUGUUUAAGGAGUAAUGAAAACAAGUAUUAUUUUUAUAAUGUGACUUACCAGAUGAGCUUCCAGAAGCCAUGUGAGCUUGACUCUGUUUCCCUUUGGAGAAUCCUCCCAGUAUGUCUAUUAGCUCUUCUCUGGUGAUGAACUUGUUUUCAGUUUUAUCUUCAUUGGGUUUUGGUUCAUCUUCUUCUUGUUGUGUGCUAGCAUUGUUGCUUUGGUAUUUGCCUUUCUGUCCUUUGUUGGGCCUGCCAUUGUAGUUUUUCUUUUCAACAAAUUUUGUGUCCUUCUUUUUGUUGAAAUCUACCCCAUGGAGCCCAUGUCCUGCUGGAAAUCCAUGCUCAUAGAAGCAUGUUUCCAGAGUGUGGUUGUGUUUCUUGCAUCUUGUGCAGUAGGGUUUGGAAUCUUCACUCUGAAUAUGUGUCUUUACCUGAGGAUUUUUAGAUUGUGCUACCAUGGCAUUGCCUUCCUCAGGGUAUACACAUUCCCUUUGAGUUUCUUCUUGUAGAACCAUGCUAAAAGCAUCUUCUACUGAAGGUGGGGUUUUCUUCUUCAAAAUCUGUCCUCUGAUGGUCAUGAAGGAGUCAUUCAGACCAGUUGUGAAGGUGAUUAAUCUCUCCAGAUUUUCCUUUGCUAUGCAGUUAGCAUUGCCACAGCAUUCAAAGAUCUGAUUGUUGUCUAGUUCAUUCCAGAGUCCCUGUAGUUUGGCAUAGUAAUUGCUUACAGAUUCAUUGCCUUGAGUGCAUAGUGCAAUCUGCCUUUUGAGUUGAGAAAUAACCAGGGAGUUUGCUCUGCUGUAUUUCUGUUUGAGAUUUUGCCACAAGAUGUUGGCAUCUUUUAUGAAGAUUGUGCUGCUUUUGAUUUCCUUGGAGCAGCUGUUUAGUAUCCAUGCUGUGACUAGAUCAUUGCAUCUGACCCAGGGUAUGAAGUAGUUAUCUGUGUUUUCUGCUGGUUUUGUAAUGGUUCCAUUUAUGAAACCCAGUUUGUUUUUGUGGAUAGAGAUCUUUGAAUUUCAACCACCCAUGUCUGAUAGUUUGAUCCACUGAGUGGAGUUACUACCAGGCUUGUGUUGGGAUUAUCACUCCCUGAAAUAUAGUAUGGAUUUCCAUCUUUGAUUUUAAACUCAUCAUUCUUUGUUGUCAUUUUCAGAUAAAAAUGAGAGGAGGGAAAGAAGGCUGAUGAGAAGGCACACCAGGAAUCUCAGGAGAAUGAGAGAGCUCAGAAGGCAAAAUAUGAAUGUGGAGGCCUUGGAGUAUUUUGGUGAUGUGGAAGAUGUGUACUCUUCCUCUGACUCUGAGUAUGAGAGACCUGUUCCUGUGUGGGAUAUUGAAUUUCCCUCAGAUAGUGAUGGCGAAGAUGGUGUGGUGUGUCAGGAAUACUACUAUGAUUAUGAUAGUGAUGAUUCUAUGCCUGACUAUGAGAUAUGGAGUGAUCCAGAUGUGGGCCUGAAUUCUGAGGGGGAGAAGGAAAAUGGUGUUCUAGCAGUAGAGAUUCCACUACCUCCUCGUCCUCCACAAGAAUUCUUUGACAAUAUCUGGAGAAACAGGAUUGUUUUUGAUGAUUCACAAUGCUGCUGUGUUGAAACAGAAGUGAUAGAGUUUUGUGUUUUUGAAACAGUUUGUAAUGCUGUUUCCUUUUUUUUGUGGAAAGAAUUGAUAGUAGAAAGAAAAAAUGAUUUUAGAAUAGAGAAAGAAAAAAUAUUUUGAUUAGGAUUGAACCUUCUCUGAUACCAUGAUAGAAGUUAUAUUUGAAAUAUAUGCAAAUAUAAAUAUGAAAUAUGGUUUAAGAAUUGAAUUAUCGAUGUAUGUAUGAUGAUAUGAUAAUGAACUGUAAAUUGAUACUGUAGGAUGAUCGAUUGAUGAAGCGAUGAUCCACAGCUUGUUGAAGUGAGUUGAAUGUGAUUGAACUUGAAUCUGUGAUUCAAGUUGAUGUAUUGCAGUUCCNNNNNNNNNNNNNNNNNNNNNNNNNNNNNNNNNNNNNNNNNNNNNNNNNNNNNNNNNNNNNNNNNNNNNNNNNNNNNNNNNNNNNNNNNNNNNNNNNNNNUUGCAGAAUUGAUCAGACAGAGUAACCCAAAGUCUGUAAUUGUAAUACAGAGUGUGUGGAUGUGUGUGUGUGAUCGUGUGUUGUCUUAAACUAGGAUUAGGUAUGUUUAUAUAGAAGAACACCCAACGGCUAUGUUGGUUGGGUGUAUUUAAUUAUGGUAAUUAAUAUAUAUAGGAAUGUGUAAUAUGGAUUUGGGAAUUAAUAUAAGAUUGAAUAUUUGAUUGAUAUUUGAAUGUGAAAAGAUGUAAUGAGAAUGUGAAGAGUUGUGAUGAAAUAAGAGGGUGUUAAUGAUAAUUUUAUUAUAAUGUUAUAUGUGUAAUUUAUUUUAAGGUAGGGGUAUAUCUCUAAUAUCCUCCCUCAAAUCAAAACCGGUCAGGGUUUGAUUUGAAUAUGUGGGUGCAUUGGGGUGUUGAAGUGAAUUAAUUGGGUUUGAAUUCUUGGUGUGUAUAUCAAUUAGGUUUAGUUUUUGGAUUAAAUUUUUAAAUGCUGGACCACCCAAGGGUUUAGUGAAAAAAUCACCAAUGUUUUGUGUGCUAGAGACGUGUCUUAGUGUAAUAUCUCCCGCUAAAACCUUGUCCCUCACCGUGUGAAGAUCGAUCUCUAUAUGCUUUGUUCGUUGGUGUGAUAUAGGGUUUCGUGCAAUCGCCUCUGCUGCCGUGCUGUCGGUGAAGAUACGUGGAGCCGGUGAUCGUCGUAUCUGGUAAACUCCUAUCUCAUGUAGUAGCAUUGUUAACCAAGUUAUUUCACAUGUAGUGUAGGCCAAUGCUCUGUACUCAGCCUCAGCCGAUGAUCUUGAUAUUGUUUGUUGCUUUUUUGAUUUCCAAGAUACUAGGGAAGUACCAAGGAAGAUGGCAAACCCCGAUGUUGAUCGUCUGGUGGUUGGGCAACUUGCCCAAUCUGAGUCAGAAAAUGCAGAAAUGUGGUCCAUUGAGGAUCCUGUAAAAUGCAACCCCACACCAGGUGAUCCUUUUAUGUAUUUUAAUACUCUGUAGGCAGCUUUCAUGUGAAUGUCUGUGGGUGUUGCCAUGUGCUGGCUUAGAUAAGUCACAGCAUAUGAUAUGUCUGGUCUUGUGCAAGUUAAAUAAACUAACUUGCCAAUUAUACUUCUAUAUUGCUGUGGGUCCUCUAAUGGGGUUCCACAUGUCUCUGUUUUAUGUGACUGCAUUGGUGUUUUAUUGAUGUGGUUAUUUGGUUGCAUUAAUGUGUUAUUAAGUUUUUCUGUUUUAUAAUUGGAUAUUUGUUUUUGGCUAUUUGGAGUGUUGUUUGGUUUGCAUUGAGUUAGAUCAUAUUUUUCCAAUAGAUCUAAGGUGUAUUUUCUUUGCCCGAUGUAUAGGCCAUUUGGUGUUUUUGUGAAUUCAAGGCCUAGGAAAUAUUUAAGUUCUCCUAGGUCUUUUAUUUUGAAAGUUUCACUUAAGUUUCCUUUUAAGGUAUUAAUUUUAUCUAUGUUAUUUCCUGUUAUUAACAGGUCAUCAACAUAGGCUAAUACUAUUGUAGUAUCUUUAUCAUCAAUGUUUAUGAACAGUGAAUAAUCUGUCUUGCAUUGUUUGUAUCCAAAAUUGGAUAGAGCCUUUGACAGAGUUUGAUACCACACUCUGGAGGCUUGUUUUAGGCCAUAUAGUGACCUAUUCAGUCUGCAGACUGAAUUUGGUGGUGAGUCUUUUGGUAUGUCUAGACCCAGGGGAAUCUUCAUGUAUAUAGUUUCUUCUAGAGUUCCAUGUAGAAAAGCAUUUUGUACAUCCAUUUGAUGCAUGUGCCAUUUCUUGGAUACUCCUAUUGCUAAAAUGACUCUGAGUGUUGUCAUUUUUGAGACAGGGGCAAAGGUUUCUGUGAAAUCUAUCCCCUCAAUUUGGUUGUAUCCUUUUGCAACCAAUCUUGCUUUAUGUUUUUCAACAGUUCCAUCACUGUUGAAUUUGGUCUUGUAAACCCAUUUGCAGCCAAUUGGUUUCUUUCCUUGAGGAAUGCUAGUGAUUGUCCAUGUUUUGUUGUUUUCAAGAGCCUCAAGUUCUUGUUUCAUAGCAUUGUUCCAUUUGGCAUGUUUGGAGGCUUCUUUGUAUGAGCUUGGAUCAUUGUUGCUUUCUAUUGUUGUGAUGAAAGCAUAGUAUUCUGGGGUGAAAUUUUGUUGUGAGAUUUCUUUCCCUAUUGGGUGUCUAGAUGAUGCUAGUUGUAGUUUGUAAUCUUUUAGGUAUGAAGGCAUUUUUCUAGUUCUUUUUGAUGUUCUGUUAGUGCCCUCAUUGUCUGCUGGUGUUGGUGUUUCAGCUAUUUCUUCCUCUUCUUCUGACUCAUAUUGUUCAGUGAGUUCCAUUGAAGGAGGAAUGUGAGAAAUUUGAGGAAUUAUCUCCUCAUCUUCCUCUGACUCAUAUUGGUCAUGUGAGGGAGUUAUGUAUGUGUUUGUUUCUUCUAGUGGUUCUUUGUUGAAGAAGUCUUCCUCAUGUUGUUUAGGUUUUUCUUGAAAUGGGAAUAUUUCUUCAUGGAAAGUAACAUCCCUGUUUGUGAAGAUUUCUUGGUUUGACAGAUUGAGUAUCUUAUAACCCUUUCUUUGGAAAGAGUAUCCUAGGAAAAUUCCCUUGAUGGCUCUGUUUUCAAAUUUUGUCUUUGUUUUGUUGUUUGUAGCAUAACAAAGACAUCCGAAUACUCUUAGGAUAGAGAGAUUUGGUUGCUCAUUAAACAGCCUGUAGUAAGGGGUGUCAUUGUCUAGGACAACAGCUGGGGUUCUAUUUAUUAGGAAUACAGCUGUUAAGAUGCAUUCCCCCCAAUAUGUAAGGGGAAUGUUGGAUUGAAUCAUAAGUGACCUGGACACUUGUAGUAUGUGCUGGUGUUUUCUCUCUACUCUCCCAUUCUGUUGAGGAGUGUAGGGACAUGAUAGUUGGUGUGCUAUUCCAUUUGUUUUUAUAGUAUUUUGGAAUUCUUUAGACAGGAAUUCUGUUUCAUUGUCUGUUCUUAUGGUUUGGAUCGUUGUUUGAUGUUGAUUUUUAACAUCCAAGAUGAACUGUUUGAAUUUUCCUAUUGUCUCAGCUUUGUUUGUCAUCAGGAAGGCCCAGGUAGCCCUUGAAUAGUCAUCUACGAUGGUCAGAAAGUAGUUGUUUCCUUGAUGUGUGGGUGUAUGAAACUUUCCCCAAAUAUCUAGAUGAAUAAGUUGAAAGCAUUUUGUAGUUUUACUUGUGCUAGAAUUAAAAGAUAGCCUUGUUUGUUUUGACAAAGGGCAUGUAUUACAAAAUUUGGAAAAAAUUUUAGGAAUACAAUUGUUCAAUAAAUGUAGGUGAUAAAAUCUAGAAGGUGCAGGGUGCCCUAGCCUUCUGUGCCAGAUUUCUUCAUCUUUGGAUUCCCUUUGUUGGCUAUGAUUGGCCUGGGGUGAUUCUAGCUUCAGUAUAUAUAGGCCAUCCUUCUUCUCACCACCACCAAUCUGGUUUCCCUGCUGGUCCUGUAUGGAACAGAAAGUAGGGUGGAAGGUGAAUAAGCAAUUUAUAUCUUUUGUUAAUUUGCUUACAGAUAGAAGGUUUACUGAGAAGGAUGGUAUUUUAAGGACAUUGUGUAAGAUAAUGUCUUUUGACAGGGUUAUGGAGCCACUUGAUGAUACUUUUGUGGUUUGUGAGUUUGGAAGGUGUAUGUUUAUUGGGUACAGGAGUGUUUUUAUGUUCUGUAGUUUGGUGUUGGGGGAACACAUAUGAUCUGUUGCCCCUGUGUCAAUGAUCCAUUGAUCAUUUUUUGUUUCAGUGUGUGGUUUUGUGUGUGUGUUUAAGGAGUAAUGAAAGCAAGUAUUAUUUUUAUAAAGUGACUUACCAGAUGAGCUUUCAGAAGCCAUGUGAGCCUGACUCUGUUUUUCUUUGGAGAAUCCUCCCAGUAUGUCUAUUAGCUCUUCUCUAGUGAUGAACUUGUUUUCAGUUUUAUCUUCAUUGGGUUUUGGUUCAUCUUCUUCUUGUUGUGUGCUAGCAUUGUUGCUUUGGUAUUUGCUUUUCUGUCCUUUGUUGGGCCUGCCAUUGUAGUUUUUCUUUCCAACAAAUUUUGUAUCCUUCUUUUUGUUGAAAUCUACCCCAUGGAGCCCAUGUCCUGCUGGAAAUCCAUGCUCAUAGAAGCAUGUUUCCAGAGUGUGGUUGUGUUUCUUGCAUCUUGUGCAGUAGGGUUUGGAGUCUUCACUCUGAAUGUGUGUCUUUACCUGAGGAUUUUUAGAUUGUGCUAUCAUGGCAUUGCCUUCCUCAGGGUAUACACACUCCCUUUGAGUUUCUUCUUGUAGAACCAUGCUAAAAGCAUCCUCUACUGAAGGUGGGGUUUUCUUCUUCAGAAUCUGUCCUCUGAUGGUCAUGAAGGAGUCAUUCAGACCAGUUGUGAAGGUGAUUAACCUCUCCAGAUUUUCCUUUGCUAUGCAGUUAGCAUUUCCACAACAUUCAAAAAUUUGAUUGUUGUCCAAUUCAUUCCAGAGUCCCUGUAGCUUGGCAUAGUAAUUGCUUACAGAUUCGUUGCCUUGAGUGCAUAGUGCAAUCUGCCUUUUCAGUUGAGAGAUGACCAGGGAGUUUGCUCUGCUGUAUUUCUGUUUAAGAUUUUGCCAUAAGAUAUUGGCAUCAUUUAUGAAGAUUGUGCUGCUUUUGAUUUCUUUGGAGCAGCUGUUUAAUAUCCAUGCAGUGACCAGAUCAUUGCAUCUGAUCCAGGGUAUGAAGUAUUUAUCUGUGUUGUCUGCUGGUUUUGUGAUGGUUCCAUUUAUGAAACCUAGUUUGUUUUUGGUGGAUAGGGAUCUUUGAAUCUCAACCACCCAUGUUUGGUAGUUUGAUCCACUGAGUGGAGUUACUACCAGGCUUAGAUUGGGAUUAUCACUUCCUGAAAUGUAGUAUGGAUUUCCAUCUUUGAUUUUAAACUCAUCAUUCUUUGUUGUCAUUUUCAGAUAAAAAUGAGAGGAGGGAAAGAAGGCUGAUGAGAAGGCACACCAGGAAUCUCAGGAGAAUGAGAGAGCUCAGAAGGCAGAAUAUGGAUGUGGAGGCCUUGGAAUAUUUUGGUGAUGUGGAAGAUGUGUAUUCUUCCUCUGACUCUGAGUAUGAGAGACCUGUUCCUGUGUGGGAUAUUGACUUUCCCUCAGAUAGUGAUGGCGAAGAUGGUGUGGUGUGUCAGGAAUACUACUAUGAUUAUGAUAGUGAUGAUUCUAUGCCUGACUAUGAGAUAUGGAGUGAUCCAGAUGUGGGCCUGAAUUCUGAGGGGGAGAAGGAGAAUGGUGUUCUGGCAGUAGAGAUUCCACUACCUCCUCGUCCUCCACAAGAAUUCUUUGACAAUAUCUGGAGAAACAGGAUUAUUUUUGAUGAUUAACAGUGCUGCUGUGUUGAAACAGAAGUGAUAGAGUUUUGUGUUUUGAAACAGUUUGUAAUGCUGUUUCCUUUUGUGGAAAGAAUUGAUAGUAGAAAGAAAAAUAUGAUUUUAGAAUAGAAAAGAAAGAAUAUUUUGAUCAGGAUUGAUCCUGCUCUGAUACCAUGAUAGAACUUAUAUUUGAAAUAUAUGCAAAUAUAAAUAUGAAAUGUGGUUUAAGAAUUGAAUUAUUGAUGAAUGUAUGAUGAUAUGAUAAUAUAUUGUAAAUUGAUACUGUAGGAGAAUCGAUUGAUGAAGCGAUGAUCCACAGCUUGUUGAAGUGAGUUGAAUGUGAUUGAACUUGAAUCUGUGAUUCAAGUUGUUGUAUUGCGGAAGCGUUUGAUGAUUAGCAAUUCCAGUUGCAGAGUUGAUCAGACAGAGUAACACAAAGUCUGUAUUGUAAUACAGAGUGUGUGGAUGUGUGUGUGAUCGUGUGUUAAUCUUAAACUAGGAUUAGGUAUGUUUAUAUAGAAGAACACCCAACGGCUAUGUUGGUUGGGUGUAUUUAAUUAUGGUAAUUAAUAUAUAUAGGAAUGUGUAAUAUGGAUUUGGGAAUUAAUAUAAAAUUGAAUAUUUGAUUGAUAUUUGAAUGUGAAAAGAUGUAAUGAGAAUGUGAAGAGUUGUGAUGAAAUAAGAGGGUGUUAAUGAUAAUUUUAUUAUAAUGCUAUAUGUGUAAUUUAUUUUAAGGUAGGGGUAUAUCUCUAAUAAUUUGGGAAGAACAUUCGACAAUCUGAUCAAUAUAUGAGAACUUCCUCACUUUCUAAAAAUUCCACAAAUUUUGACACCUUUGUCCAACGUCACCAUUGUCAUAAACCUACAUAUGCAAUUCAUUUCUUUUUUUUCUUCUUCUCAUUUUGCAAUUCUUGGAGUUCCAAGAAAAUCCUCACGAUCUUCAAAAAUUCCCGUAGAUUGGGAAUAUAGAAAGUGGUGAUUGGGUGACUGUGUGUGGUGAUCCUUGUUUUUCUCGCUCUCUCGUGCUCUAGUGUUCAUGUGCUAUGGUGGCUAAAUUCUUCACGUUUUUCAAGAAUUCAUUUGUGGGUGUGGGAUGGAGGAGAUUAUUCGUAGGAGUGCUCCUACAUCAUGAUCAUUUGCUGAUGUUGUUGGGGGUAAAGAGAUACCCUUGGAUUAGAUUUUGGUUAUUCCCCCCCAAUGGUUCGUGAUGAUGGUGAAAAUUUAGAGGUCGUGGGAGCUUAGGUUCUAGCUCGUGUAAGAAAAAAAUGGGGAGGAACAUUGUUGAUCAAGAUUAUAGGUAGGAAAUUUUAUCCACAAUAAAUUGCAGGGCAUAUCCGGCGAAAUUGGAAAGUCACUUGGGGUUUUGAGGUUAAGUCUCGUCGCGACGAUUUGUUUAUUGUUCGUCUAAAAGAGGUUGUAGAGUAUUGAAAGAUGUCAUUGACGAUGCAGUAUAUACUAUUGAAGUCGUUGACGUGAUAGGGAGACUUAAUUACCAUAAGAGAUUACUGGAGGAUGCUCGUCGGAACGUCAGAGUACUUGUCGAGGAGACGGAGGCUGCAGCUGACGACGAGAUGACAGAGAAUGGUUCUAACGACUAAUAGUUAGCCUGGAAAGAGGGUGAACCAGCCAGAGGGUCCGCCUACCGAAUACCUGGUAUCAGAACUUUGUAACUAAUCGCGAUGGUCAAAGGGGCACGACGACUUAAUUCUUUAAAUUUAUCUGGAGAAUUUAGUAAUAAGUAUGGAAGGGCAGUUUAGUCUUUUGUAAUAACUUGAUAUAUAAACGAUUGUAACCCAUUUCGGUAAAUUAACUUUGGAUUUAAUUAAAGGUUUUUAACCUAAAAGCUGCCAAUGCUACUGUUCCAUUGAUCUACCGCAACCCUUCAUCUUUUCUCCUAUUACUGGUGUUUUUAAUCCCUCCUGUCAGAGUAUUCCUCAUCACCGUCGGUAGAUUGUCCGAAGAUCUUCAGAAGAAGGAAUUGUACUCAUGAAAAAUACAAAAAAAAUCAUCCAAAGCAUGUUCUGUGCUAAACAGAUCCUAGCAAAGGACUUUCAGCAAAAUUUAAUAAUCCAUACUUGAAUAUUAUUUUAUUUCAGAUCCAGAUUAUUCAACUUGGAGAUCCGAAGAAGGAAUUGUGCACCUUUAACACACACAAAAAAAAUCGCCAAGGCAUGUUCUAGGCCCUAACUAGAUCCGGAUCAUGCAAUUAUCUAUCCUUGGUUCCUUGUUAUAUAUUGUCUUUAUCCUAAGAGAAUUAAUAUUGCAGAUAUUACACACAUGGUUGAGAAUAUGGACUUACAACUCAAAUGAGUGCAAGCUAAACAAGCUAUUGAGGAUGAAAGGUUAAGCAAGAUAGAACCAACCUUGGCUCAAAUGGUUGAAUCAUUGGGGAGGAUUUCAAACAGAGAUCCGCCUAAAGGGAAUAGUAGUGAUGACCCAAAACCAGAGUACAAGAAAUUUGUAAGAACUGAUAUGCCCAAAUUUGAUGGAUCUAAUGUGCAAGGUUAGUUAUAUAUAUAAGGCAAAAAAAUACUUAGAUAUCACAACAUCGAUCACUGAUGAAGAAAGAAUAAUUGUGGCAACCUUCAACAUGGAAGGAGAGGCGCUAGAAUGGCUAUUGUGUCAGGAACAAUGCUAUAAAAUCUUGGUCAUAUUUCACAGAUGAUGUCAUAACAAGAUUUGGAACCUGAGCUUAUGAGAUCCCAGCGGGGAGACUCAGUAAACUGGUCCAAACAGGAACAGUGAAGGAGUUUGAGGGAUUUUAUCAUAACAGUUGUGCUCUCAUUUUAAUAAAUGAAAUAGUACGAAUCGUUCAUUUAUAUUUAUUUAAUUAGAUCUAUCACUUCUCAUUUUAAAAUAACAAUCCGAAAAAAAGAGUAUAUACACAGAAGAAACUUUAUAGAAAUUCAUCUCCAAUUAGUCCAAAAACGCCCAUGAAAUCUUGGCCUCACAUUUAUAAAAAAUAUUACACCUCAGGAUUAGUGUAAGAUGGAGGGGAAAAAUCAAAUGAAAUAAAUGGACAGUCAGGAUUCCAUGGGCGUUUUUGAACGUAACUAAGAGAGUCUCACUUGAAAAUUGUUCUAUAUAUACAUAUACUAAGAGUGAGCAUGAACAAACUUUAAUAAUCUUUAUAAAUUUAUAAGACAAACUUUAUCCCUAUUUUUUCACAAUGUUGAUCUCAACUUGAUCUGCAACCAUCACGUCAAUAAUCUCACCAAUCUGCAGCCAACAUUAAUUUCUUGAUCAUGAACCGUUCAAUAUUGAAUUCGUUCUUAUAGAUCUUCUGAAAUUUGUUCCGACAAAAAAAAUCUAAAAUGGAUAAAAAAAUCAGAUAAUGAAAUUCUUGAGUUAUAAACCUAUUAUAUAUACAAUUAUAUAAAAAUCAUGAACAUAUGUAACUAGUUAUAAACGUGAAAAUGAAAUAGUUAUAAAUUUGUACAUACAACUAGUUAUAAAUCUAAACAUUCAACUAUUUGUAAAUCUAAACAUUCAACUAGCUGAACAUUGAACUAGAUAUAUAUUGAAAAUGCAACUAAUUAUAAAUCUAAACAUGCAAUUAUAUAAAAAUCUUGAACAUUCAACUAGUUAUAAACUUGAAAAUGUAACUAGUUAUAAAUUUGAACAUGUAUUCAACUAGCUGAACAUUGAAUUAGCUAUAAACCUGAACAUUAAUUUAGCUAUAAACCUAAAUAUUGAAUUAGUUAUAAACCUAAACAUUGAACUAGUUAUAAACUUAAAAUGCAACUGAUUGUAAAUCUAAAACAUGCAACUAGUAGCUCGCGAGCAACCCGGGAGCUCCAAAAGUAGCUCGCGAAUAACCUGGGAGCUCCAAAAGUAGCUCGCGAGCCUACGAGAGCAACCCAAGGGAAGUUCAAUUAAGAUCAAGGUAUUUUCAAAACUAGUCCUAAUCUGAAUAUACAAUUUGUUGUAUAAACUUACAACUAUUGUAAUUAAAUGACUAAAUUAUAAUUAAAAUGUAAUUAAAAUCAACUGAUCGUUUUUUUAAUUUUUAUAAUAUCUAAAAAUUAUCAAAAUAACAUGUAUUUAUUUUAAUUAAAAUAAAUAAAAAUAUUGUUUAAAUAAGAUAAUAAAUAAAUAAAAAACAACUAGAAAGUAUCGAAGUAAUUAAAUAAAAAAAUAAGUUAAAUUAAAAUGAAAAUUUCUAAAUAUAUAUCUAAACCCUAAAAUGUUUAACAAUAAAAGUAUCAUCACUAGUUCACUACCCAUGCCCACCCCUAGUAAGAUAAUAUAUAUAAAUUUUGUAUGACAGUGACUAGAUAAUCGAAUAUUACAGUUUAGUCAAAUUCUGGUGAGAAUUUAAGGAUUUGAAACACACUUGUUUUGAAAUCAUGUCAUUUAUUUUAACUUUUUCAAGAUAUUCAAAUCAAGUAUUUAAAUUGUUAGCCAAAUUUCAUACACAAAUAUAGAAAUAUCAUAUUUUAUUUAGUAAGAGGUAGUAAACUGUUUUUUCUUUUUCUAAUCAAACUCAAUUAAUGGAUUAAUGUUUCAUGAAUUGUUUGCUAUAAAUACCACCAUAAUCUCAUGCUUUCUUCAAAACAAAAUAUCUCCCAAUAAGCUUUCUAAAAUAUAUCAUUGUAUCAAUGGCGGUGUCUAAGGUGUUGGGUACAACCUUUGUGGUCAUGCUCUUUCUAGGCAUGACCUCUGCAGGGAGGGUUUUGUCGAAUAAUGGAGGUGGUGGUGAAGGUGGUGGUGGUGGAGGUGGUGGUGGCAAAGGAAGUGGUUCUGGUUAUGGGUCGGGGAGUGGUUAUGGAUCUGGAAGUGGUUCUAAUUACGGUGGACGUGGAGGUGGAGGUGGAGGUGGUGGUGGACAUGGAGGUGGGAAUGGAUCGGGAUAUGGUUCUGGCAGUGGAUCUGGUUAUGGUUCAGGUAGCGGAAAUGGUGGUUAUGGCAGUGGAGGAGGUGGUGGAGGUGGUCAUGGAGGCGGUAGUGGCUCUGGACAUGAAUCUGGUUCUGGUUAUGGAUCAGGUUCUGGUUAUGGAAGUGGGGGACUUCCAUAAGUAUGAUCAUCAUCUAGUGGAUAUGUAAUAUAUGUAUACAUACAUAAGGCGACCAUAUAUAUCUGGUUGAUCGAAUAAUGUUUUAAACUCUCUAAUUUAUAAUACCAAUUACAAUAAUAAAUUUGAGAGGUUUAAAUCACAGGACACUUGAAUUUGGAUAUUGAAAAAUAUAUAACUUGAUAUGAAUUUUAAUAAAUAUUAGUUACUGAAUGAAUGAAUGAAUGAAUGAAUGAAUGAAAAUAAUUCAUUAAGAUAGAAUAAUUGUAAUACAAGAAUUUUGUUAUUCAUAAUUCUUCAAAUACGAUUAAUUCGAUUAUUUCUUACAGUGAUGUUGAUUGGGUUGCAGGAAACCCUGACGAUUAAUUCACUAUAGCCAUCAAUAUUUUCAUCCAUUCUUUUGUAUUCCACUUUAAUUGAGAGGUUUGUCUCAAAAUCAUUAUAAUAUGAUGAAAAGCUUUUGAGCUUCACAAAAAAGUUAGGUUUGAUUUUAUAGAAUUGUUGAAAAAACUUUUAAUUAAAUAAGUUCACAAAUACCUCUAGACUAGUGUAUUUCGUGAAUCAAAAUCACAAGAAUAAAGUAGAUCAACGAACUAAUAUAAAUUUCUAUGUGUUUUUCAUUUAACCAACUUAGAUUUCAGUCAACGCAAAAACGACAAGCUUUAUCUUUCAAUCUUUUUGUUAUUUAACUUGUGUUACUUUAUGUCCUAAAUCUAUUUAAUUAGUUCUCGAUCUGCUAUCAGAUUUUAAAAACACGAGAGCACGAGACCGGCAACAGAGCUUCGGUGCAUUACUGCAUUGGCCGACAAUGAAACUCUGAAGCACGAGACUGGGAAAGCGGUCAAUUUCUUCAAUGAGAGAGCCUAGAAGAUGUUUAACAUAAUAUUCUAUUUAAUGUCAUAUUCGCAAAUUUUCACCGACUAAAAUUGGAUAUUAGUGAGUCACUAUCAUUUAUUCAUAUCACAACUGUACUUUAUCAAAAAAAAAUUAAAUCAAAUUGACUUUUUUCAUUGACUGAGAUAUUUAUUGAUAAUUUAAAAAUUAAGAUGUCAUUUUUUGUUGUUAUUAAAAAUCAUUUAUCUCAUUUGAAAUAUCUCAUGAAAACGUUUUUUAUUUAUUAAUAUCACGAUUGUAGUGGCUUCAUAUAUGUAUGUAUGUAUGUAUGAUUUUAUAUAUAUCAAGUAGACGUUGAUCAUAUUUAUGGUCGUCCUCCACUUCCGUAACCAGAGCCUGAUCCAUAACCUGAACCAGAUCCAGAUCCAGACCCACCACCUCCUCCAUGGCCACCGCCACCACCUCCUCCAUUGCCGUAACCACCAUUUCCGCUACCUGAACCAUAACCAGAUCCACUGCCAGAGCCAUAUCCCGAUCCGUUCCCACCCCCUUGUCCACCACCACCUCCACCGCCAUGUCCACCACCUCCUCCUUGGCCACCACCGUAACCAGAACCGCUUCCAGAUCCAUAACCACUCCCUGAUCCAUGACCACUUCCAGAUCCUCCACCACCACCGUGUCCACCUCCUCCACCACCACCGUGUCCACCUCCACUCCUUUUACCACUUCAAUAACCUGAACCGGAUCCAUAGCCACUACCAGCUUGACCUCCACCGCCGCCUCCACUACCAUACCCACCUCCUUUCCCAUGUCCCGAACCAUAUCCUGAGUCAUAACCAGAACCACUUCCCUUUCCACUACCUCCUCCUCCACCACCGCCGCCACCUCCACCACCACCUUCAUUAUUCGACCAAACCCUGGUUGCAGAGGUCAUGCCUAGGAAGAGCAUGACAACCAAAGUAGCACCCAACACCUUAGACAUAGCCAUUGAUGGUUAUAUAUUUUAGAAAGCUAAAAGAGAGAUGUGUGUUGUUAUGAAG
rnacentral:lncRNA from 1 species